rnacentral:rRNA from 1 species
UACGUAGGGUGCAAGCGUUAAUCGGAAUACUGGGCGUAAAGCGUGCGCAGGCGGUGAUGUAAGACAGAUGUGAAAUCCCCGGGCUCAACCUGGGAACUGCAUUUGUGACUGCAUCGCUAGAGUACGGCAGAGGGGGGAUGGAAUUCCGCGUGUAGCAGUGAAAUGCGUAGAUAUGCGGAGGAACACCGAUGGCGAAGGCAAUCCCCUGGGCCUGUACUGACGCUCAUGCACGAAGCGUAGGG